CUGAGUAAUACUCCAUUGUGUAUAUGUACCACAGCUUUCUUAUCCAUUCAUCUGCUGAUGGACAUCUAGGUUGUUUCCAUGUCCUGGCUAUUAUAAACAGUGCUGCGAUGAACAUUGGGGUACAUGUGUCUCUUUCAAUUCUGGUUUCCUCGGUGUCUGAGUAAUACUCCAUUGUGUAUAUGUACCACAGCUUUCUUAUCCAUUCAUCUGCUGAUGGACAUCUAGGUUGUUUCCAUGUCCUGGCUAUUAUAAACAGUGCUGCGAUGAACAUUGGGGUACAUGUGUCUCUUUCAAUUCUGGUUUCCUCGGUGUGUAUGCCCAGAAGUGGGAUUGCUGGGUCAUAACGUAGUUCUAUUUGCAAUUUUUUAAGGAAUCUCCACACUGUUCUCCAUAGUGGCUGUACUAGUUUGCAUUCCCACCAACAGUGUAGGAGGGUUCCCUUUUCUC
ensembl:lncRNA